UACGGAGGGGCUAGCGUUGUUCGGAAUUACUGGGCGUAAAGCGCGCGUAGGCGGCUUUGUAAGUUAGAGGUGAAAGCCCGGAGCUCAACUCCGGAAUUGCCUUUAAGACUGCAUCGCUAGAAUCAUGGAGAGGUGAGUGGAAUUCCGAGUGUAGAGGUGAAAAUUCGUAGAUAUCGAGAGGAACACCGGUGGCGAAGGCGGCGAUCUGGACGAUGACUGACGCUGAGACGCGAAGCGUGGGGGAGCAAACAGG
rnacentral:rRNA from 1 species